rnacentral:rRNA from 1 species
UACGAAGGGGGCUAGCGUUGCUCGGAAUUACUGGGCGUAAAGGGUGCGUAGGUGGCUUGUUAAGUCAGGGGUGAAAGUUUUCGGCCCAACCGGAAAAUGGCCUUUGAUACUGGCGAGCUCGAGUGCGUGAGGGGUAACCGGAACGAGCAGUGUAGCGGUGAAAUGCGUAGAUAUUGCUCGGAAGGCCAACGGCGAAGGCAGGUUACUGGUGCGCAACUGACACUGAGGCACGAAAGCGUGGGGAGCAAACAGG